UACGUACGUGGCGAGCGUUAUCCGGAAUUACUGGGCGUAAAGCGUGCGUAGGCGGUUUAGUGUGUGGGAAUUGAAAGCCCGGGGCUCAACUCCGGAUCCGGUUCCCAAACUGCUAGACUCGAGCGUAUCAGAGGACAGUGGAAUUCCCGGUGUAGCGGUAAUAUGCGUAGAUAUCGGGAGGAACACCAGUGGCGAAGGCGACUGUCUGGGGUAUUGCUGACGCUGAGGCACGAAAGCCAGGGGAGCGAACGGG
rnacentral:rRNA from 1 species